UCNUCCGGAAAGCAUCAGAGAUGGUGCCCCCCUUGUGGUCGGUAUACAGGUGGUGCAUGGUCUGUCGUCAGCUCGUGUCGUGNAGAUGUUGGGUUAAGUCCCGCAACGAGCGCAACCCUUGUUCUGUGUUGCCAGCAUGCCCUUCGGGGUGAUGGGGACUCACAGGAGACUGCCGGGGUCAACUCGGAGGAAGGUGGGGACGACGUCAAGUCAUCAUGCCCCUUAUGUCUUGGGCUGCACACGUGCUACAAUGGCCGGUACAAAGAGCUGCGAAGCCGCGAGGCGGAGCGAAUCUCAAAAAGCCGGUCUCAGUUCGGAUUGGGGUCUGCAACUCGACCCCAUGAAGUCGGAGUUGCUAGUAAUCGCAGAUCAGCAUUGCUGCGGUGAAUACGUUCCCGGGCCUUGUACACACCGA
rnacentral:rRNA from 1 species